UAUUUUGACUAUACAAAGGUAUUGUAAUAAGAUUUUAAUUGAAUGCUAAGAGAAUGGAAUUUCAGGGAAAAACUGUUUUAAACUUAAAAAUUAAAUUUAUUUUAAUUUGUGAAGAAACAAUUAUUUAAAUUAAGGACAAGAAGACCCUAAGAAUUUUAAAAAUAAUAAUUUUAAUAUUAAAAUUAUUAUUUUUUAGUUGGGGCAACUAAAAAAGAUUAUAAACUUUUUAUUUAAUAAAAUGAUCCAUUAUUAAUGAUAAUUUGAUAAAAAUACUCUAGGGAUAACAGCGUAAUAAUUUUUGAUAGAACAUAUAGACAAAAUAGUUUGCGACCUCGAUGUUGGAUUAGGAUACUUUUUUAAUGAAGAUGUUAAAAAAAAGAAGUUUGUUCAACUUUUAAAGUCCU
rnacentral:rRNA from 1 species